rnacentral:rRNA from 1 species
CACAUGCAGUCGAGGGGCAGCAUGGUCUUAGCUUGCUAAGGCCGAUGGCGACCGGCGCACGGGUGAGUAACACGUAUCCAACCUGCCGUCUACUCUUGGACAGCCUUCUGAAAGGAAGAUUAAUACAAGAUGGCAUCAUGAGUCCGCAUGUUCACAUGAUUAAAGGUAUUCCGGUAGACGAUGGGGAUGCGUUCCAUUAGAUAGUAGGCGGGGUAACGGCCCACCUAGUCUUCGAUGGAUAGGGGUUCUGAGAGGAAGGUCCCCCACAUUGGAACUGAGACACGGUCCAAACUCCUACGGGAGGCAGCAGUGAGGAAUAUUGGUCAAUGGGCGAGAGCCUGAACCAGCCAAGUAGCGUGAAGGAUGACUGCCCUAUGGGUUGUAAACUUCUUUUAUAAAGGAAUAAAGUCGGGUAUGCAUACCCGUUUGCAUGUACUUUAUGAAUAAGGAUCGGCUAACUCCGUGCCAGCAGCCGCGGUAAUACGGAGGAUCCGAGCGUUAUCCGGAUUUAUUGGGUUUAAAGGGAGCGUAGAUGGAUGUUUAAGUCAGUUGUGAAAGUUUGCGGCUCAACCGUAAAAUUGCAGUUGAUACUGGAUAUCUUGAGUGCAGUUGAGGCAGGCGGAAUUCGUGGUGUAGCGGUGAAAUGCUUAGAUAUCACGAAGAACUCCGAUUGCGAAGGCAGCCUGCUAAGCUGCAACUGACAUUGAGGCUCGAAAGUGUGGGUAUCAAACAGGAUUAGAUACCCUGGUAGUCCACACGGUAAACGAUGAAUACUCGCUGUUUGCGAUAUACGGCAAGCGGCCAAGCGAAAGCGUUAAGUAUUCCACCUGGGGAGUACGCCGGCAACGGUGAAACUCAAAGGAAUUGACGGGGGCCCGCACAAGCGGAGGAACAUGUGGUUUAAUUCGAUGAUACGCGAGGAACCUUACCCGG